CAAAGGAAGCGAUUCCGGCGGGGGAUGGGCAUGCGGCGCAUUAGCUAGUCGGCGGGGUAACGGCCCACCGAGGCGACGAUGCGUAGGGGUUCUGAGAGGAAGGUCCCCCACACUGGUACUGAGACACGGACCAGACUCCUACGGGAGGCAGCAGUGAGGAAUAUUGGUCAGUGGGCGAGAGCCUGAACCAGCCAAGUCGCGUGAGGGAAGACGGUCCUAUGGAUUGUAAACCUCUUUUGCCGGGGAGCAACGGGGUCCUUGCGAGGGCCUAAUGAGAGUACCCGGAGAAAAAGCAUCGGCUAACUCCGUGCCAGCAGCCGCGGUAAUACGGAGGAUGCGAGCGUUAUCCGGAUUUAUUGGGUUUAAAGGGUGCGUAGGCGGGCUGUUAAGUCAGCGGUCAAAUGUCGGGGCUCAACCCCGGCCUGCCGUUGAAACUGGCGGCCUCGAGUGGGCGAGAAGUAUGCGGAAUGCGUGGUGUAGCGGUGAAAUGCAUAGAUAUCACGCAGAACUCCGAUUGCGAAGGCAGCAUACCGGCGCCCUACUGACGCUGAGGCACGAAAGCGUGGGUAUCGAACAGGAUUAGAUACCCUGGUAGUCCACGCAGUAAACGAUGAAUGCUAGCUGUCCGG
rnacentral:rRNA from 1 species